AGGACGAACGCUGGCGGCGUGCCUAACACAUGCAAGUCGAACGGGUGAUCCUUCGGGGAUCACUUAGUGGGCGAACGGGUGAGUAACGCGUGAGGAACCUGCCUUCCAGUGGGGGACAACAGUUGGAAACGACUGCUAAUACCGCAUAACAUACACUGACCGCAUGAUCGGUGUAUCAAAGCUUUAUGUGCUGGAAGAUGGCCUCGCGUCUGAUUAGCUAGUUGGAGGGGUAACGGGCCCACCAAGGCGACGAUCAGUAGCCGGUCUGAGAGGAUGAACGGCCGCAUUGGGACUGAGAUACGGCCCAGACUCCUACGGGAGGCAGCAGUGGGGAAUAUUGGGCAAUGGGGGAAACCCUGACCCAGCAACGCCGCGUGAAGGAAGAAGGCCUUCGGGUUGUAAACUUCUUUUAGCAGGGACGAAGGACGUGACGGUACCUGCAGAAAAAGCGACGGCUAACUACGUG
rnacentral:rRNA from 1 species